rnacentral:rRNA from 2 species
GCCUGAGAAACGGCUACCACAUCCAAGGAAGGCAGCAGGCGCGCAAAUUACCCAAUCCCGACACGGGGAGGUAGUGACAAUAAAUACUGAUACAGGGCUCUUUUGGGUCUUGUAAUCGGAAUGAGUACAAUUUAAACCUCUUAACGAGGAACAAUUGGAGGGCAAGUCUGGUGCCAGCAGCCGCGGUAAUUCCAGCUCCAAUAGCGUAUAUUAAAGUUGUUGCAGUUAAAAAGCUCGUAGUUGAAUCUUGGGCCUGGCUGGCCGGUCCGCCUCACCGCGUGUACUGGUCUGGCCGGGCCUUUCCUUCUGGAGAACCUCAUGCCCUUCAGUGGGUGUGUUGGGGAACCAGGACUUUUACUUUGAAAAAAUUAGAGUGUUCAAAGCAGGCCUUUGCUCGAAUACGUUAGCAUGGAAUAAUAGAAUAGGACGUGCGGUCCUAUUUUGUUGGUUUCUAGGACCGCCGUAAUGAUUAAUAGGGAUAGUCGGGGGCAUCAGUAUUCAAUUGUCAGAGGUGAAAUUCUUGGAUUUAUUGAAGACUAACUACUGCGAAAGCAUUUGCCAAGGAUGUUUUCAUUAAUCAGUGAACGAAAGUUAGGGGAUCGAAGACGAUCAGAUACCGUCGUAGUCUUAACCGUAAACUAUGCCGACUAGGGAUCGGGCGAUGUUUCUAUCUUGACUCGCUCGGCACCUUACGAGAAAUCAAAG